UUGGAGCUCUGUUUGAGUAGAGGCUACAUGACUAAAUCUAACCCACUGCUUCACAAAGUAGGUUCCAUGGAACAUGCAUAUCCUGAGGUGCUCAGAAAACUUCAAAAAAGGUUACGGCCAAACAAAUUUCAGAGAUGCAUAUUUGCUUUUCCAGCUCUGUCUUCUUCGUCUAAUGAGACCACGGUUUCACUAGGGACCACAUGAGGGAAGAGAACAAGUUGACCCUGGCGCACUGGAGGACAUGAAGCAAUCCAGGCAGCAGACAUGUGCAUUACAUCUGGGUUACAUAGAAAAGGAGAGAGAGAAAGCAAAUAAAGUGAGAGAGGACACAAGCGAUCUGCAGACCGGUGGAACAAAACAAGAAGGGGAGUGCUGGGCUGUGACAGGUGUGGAUGGCAGAAACUCAAGUCUGAGCAGUCUGUCCCCUUAACAACUUGAUGAUACUGUUGAAAUUGGUCCAGUGGACAGUGAUUGUCAACUGCGCUCCAGAGGCUCUGCAAGAGGGGAAAGAGGAAAACUUUCCCUUUGCAGCUUUUCCACAUGACUCAUCUGUGUUUCUGCAAAACUAGUUGUUGAAACUUGGUUCCAACUUGAAAAGUCAAGGUAAUUAUGGGUCGGUCAUUCAAAAAGAGGUAGGUAACCCUCAAGGAAGUCCAACAUAACAUUAUUGCACUGCCACAGGCUGACAAACCGGCCUGGUCCAGAAGUGUCAGCAGCAGGAGACAGAGCUGGGUUCAGGGGCUUCUCUAGGCAUUUGAACAGAUGGUUUCUUACCUGCUGUCCUCUAAGGAGAAGGCAAACAGUUCUGGAGGGAAAAGGCCAAUUAGCUGAUGGUUUUCUAGAAGAGGGAGAGUUUCAAGCCACUGGGAAGCCCACAGUCUGGAUUGGGUGACUGCUGAAGGACGCCCAAUGUUGACUAUCAGAAAGCAAGACAUUGUGAACGUCCCAUCAACCUGACCCGUCCACCAGAAAGAUAACUGUACCUCCUCCUUUCACGAAGGCAUUUUUUCUUCAUGGAAUCUUAAAACUAGAAGAAAUAAUAAAGGUCAUUCCACCCUCCCUCUAGCUGUAUGGGUGAAGAACCCAAGAACCAAGGACUUCUGAGGCCUGCCCAGAACCUGACUGUCUAAACUCCUAAGUCAGUGUUCCAAAUGAGGGUCCAAAGCAUAAGUCAGACUCAAGAAAAAUAACCCCAAUGUUUUCAGGGGCCAUAUUCUGCAAAUAAUCUAAAAAUUCCUUUUUUAGGAAGUGUCCCCAGUGUUUUAUUUUACCUUGCAUAUGAAUUCCCAGGGGCUAGGGGACUACUAAAUAAAUCAUAGAAUGAAACAAUAAACAUGCAUAUUUCUGAAUAUAAUACUCAAUAGUAGUGACCCAAGCAGCUUAGACCUUACUUAUCCCUCUCAUGAAAGUUUUUAAUGACACCACAUAUUAAGUUUUUGCAACAUAUAAAUAUUCAUAUAAAAGACUAAAUUUCAUUUAGUUAGAGAUAUAGCAAAGAUAUGAAAAAAGGCCAGUGAAUCCAAAGAUAUGAAGAAAGGGCAGUGAAUGGCACUCUGUCAUUCAUAAGCUCCCCUCCCACUGAGGAACUUCCCACCCUCCAAAAAAAAAUUGGCUUCAGUUGAAUUAAUACUUUAUCCUAAGGAAUUUAUUUUUGACAACAGGAUGUUCCUGUUAUUUUCAAGUCCUGUAGUUUCAACAACAGGAUUUCAGGGCAGUGAAAUGAAAUGGGAACAGCAGAGUAAUAUUAAUUUCUGAGCAUAAUCAUGAAUGUAUGAGGAAAACCCAAGUAGUCUAAAACCUGUCUUUAAAAAAGCCUAUCUCCUUCAUGAAUUUUCUGAAUUUCUUUUAAUUAAAAAAUAUCAUGAUCUGACAUGCAGUAAAGAUUUUUUGUUUUGGCUAAAAUUCUUAACUUUUUCAUUGUAGCCAAACUUCUUAAAUGUAGAGCUGGGCCAGCUAAAGUCUUGAAAAACUUGCCUUCAUGAUGGUAUACUAGUGUAUUCUCUUCUUUAUUUCUUAUUCUCUCUUUC